AGCAGGGAAACUGCCUACGUUUGGUUAUUUCUGCUGUGUUCAGGGAGACAGGCCUGUGGGUACAUUCUUUGUAAGUAACCAAGAUUACACCAAGCAUAUACUGACUUGCAUCCCCAGUUUCUCAGCCUAACGGAAACGAUGCUGCUUGACUGACUAUCUGGACCACUUUGACUACAAGCUUCAGUCCACCUCCUGCCAAAGGAGGCUCUGUGCAGUUGCAAAGCCAGCUUCUCAUUCCUGAAGACUCAGGAGACCUUUCUAGUGCCCAGGCCUUGUGGGUAGAAAACAAGUUGCUGGAAUUGGAAACUGAUCAGAGCAGUGUGCCCUGUCUGUUGGCCUGGGAAAGCCCAAGUAGUCCAUCAUGCUGUGAGGAUUUUUCUUGACUCCUCUUGCUGAUGCCAUUUCGCGGAGUCAGUAACACCAGCAGGAGGAGAUUUGGUUAACUGUACUCGGAGGUGAAACUCACUGCUAUUCCAGGCAUGACAAUUUGGAGGCAUCACCAGACAGGCACUGCGGUGGAACCCCCAAGGCAAGCGGAAAAGAGGCCGUCCAAGAAACACCUGGCGACGCGACCUUCAGGCUGAUAGCAAAAAAAUGGGCUAUACCUGGAACCAGCUAGAGCGAAUGGCCCAGUAUAGAGGACUCUGGAGAUCUGUGGUUGGCGGCCCAUACCCCGAUUGGGGUGACGGGCAUGAGUGAGUGUUGGUGUAGGGGAGGCAGUGCUAGGAGGGACGGAAAAUAGCACUUGCUUUUUAAAGAAGCUGAAUUGAGCAGCCUGGGCAGGAGAGUUGGGAUAUUCAAAGCUGCUGAGGCUAGUUUGGGUCAGAUCGUUCUGCUCACACAUAAAUAACUGGAACCACCAGACAUUCCAAAGUGCAUGCCUGUUGUUGGUUAUUUCAUUUUCCCACUGGUCCUUUUUGCUGACAGAUUCUAGAAACUUUCCCAAUUGGACCCUUCACCUGUCUCUGAUGAUGUGUGGGAAAACCCUCCUUCCCAUUGUCACGCAGCCUGUCUGGCAAAAUCCUUUCUCACCAAGGGGCUGGGUUUUGCUCCUAAUGCAUUACAGGGUUAACUCCUCAUUUCACCUGAGUCUGGAGUGGACGUGAUUGGUGUUCUUCACCUGGUGCUGUA